rnacentral:rRNA from 1 species
GAUGAACGCUGACAGAAUGCUUAACACGUGCAAGUCGACUCGAGUCUUCGGACUUGGGUGGCGCACGGGUGAGUAACGCGUAAAGAACUUGCCUCUUAGACCGGGACAACAUCUGGAAACGGAUGCUAAUACCGGAUAUUAUGGUUUUUUCGCAUGGAGGAAUCAUGAAGCUAGAUGCGCUAAGAGAGAGCUUUGCGUCCCAUUAGCUGGUUGGUGAGGUAACGGCCCACCAAGGCAAUGAUGGGUAGCCGGCCUGAGAGGGUGAACGGCCACAAGGGGACUGAGACACGGCCCUUACUCCUACGGGAGGCAGCAGUGGGGAAUAUUGGACAAUGGACCACAAGUCUGAUCCAGCAAUUCUGUGUGCACGAUGACGUUUUUCGGAAUGUAAAGUGCCUUCAGUCGGGAAGAAGUCAGUGACGGUACCGACAGAAGAAGCGACGGCUAAAUACGUGCCAGCAGCCGCGGUAAUACGUAUGUCGCAAGCGUUAUCCGGAUUUAUUGGGCGUAAAGCGCGUCUAGGCGGCAAGGAAAGUCUGAUGUGAAAAUGCGGAGCUCAACUCCGUAUGGCGUUGGAAACUGCCUUACUAGAGUACUGGAGAGGUAGGCGGAACUACAAGUGUAGAGGUGAAAUUCGUAGAUAUUUGUAGGAAUGCCGAUGGGGAAGCCAGCCUACUGGACAGAUACUGACGCUAAAGCGCGAAAGCGUGGGUAGCAAACAGG